rnacentral:rRNA from 1 species
GAUGAACGCUGGCGGCGUGCCUAAUACAUGCAAGUCGAGCGAACAGACGGGGAGCUUGCUCCUCUGACGUUAGCGGCGGACGGGUGAGUAACACGUGGAUAACCUACCUAUAAGACUGGGAUAACUUCGGGAAACCGGAGCUAAUACCGGAUAAUAUAUUGAACCGCAUGGUUCAAUAGUGAAAGACGGUUUUGCUGUCACUUAUAGAUGGAUCCGCGCCGCAUUAGCUAGUUGGUAAGGUAGCGGCUUACCAAGGCAACGAUGCGUAGCCGACCUGAGAGGGUGAUCGGCCACACUGGAACUGAGACACGGUCCAGACUCCUACGGGAGGCAGCAGUAGGGAAUCUUCCGCAAUGGGCGAAAGCCUGACGGAGCAACGCCGCGUGAGUGAUGAAGGUCUUCGGAUCGUAAAACUCUGUUAUUAGGGAAGAACAAAUGUGUAAGUAACUAUGCACGUCUUGACGGUACCUAAUCAGAAAGCCACGGCUAACUACGUG